CAGCCUCUAACGGGGAGGCCAGAGAAUGCCCAGAGGCCAUUUUUUUGUACACGCAGGGGCUGCUCCCGGAAUCCGGUCAAAUAGACUCCCGGGGCCAGCCGCGGGGGUCAAGCCUUCCCCGCAGUUCUGGAAAGGCUCAGCCUAGGCUCGCCCCGGGCGGCUGCUCCCGGCAGGCCUAGCGCGGUGGGGCGGGGCUGGCGGCACGAGGCCGAGGCAGCGCCGGCGGCACGCACCGGGCGGGAGCCCACCUCUAAUGGCGCGGCGCGUUCUGAUUGGGAGGCCUCAAGCGGGCGCGGGGCUUCCAGGGUGCAUUCCAGCCGUCGUCUCUUCCCGCCGCGGAGACCCAGCGGUUGAGGGGCGCCGGCGUCCGGGAGUGGAAGAUGCUGCACAAGCUCACCCUCGAGCAGAUCAGUGACUAGUUCACCAUCGGCAAGACAGUGACCAAUGUGGAGCUGCUGGGCCCGCCGCCCGCCUUCCCGGCCGAGGCGGCCAGGGAGGAGACGCAGAGCCAGAUCGUGGCCCCUAGCGCGGGUCCCACGGCCCAGGCUCUGGCCCUGGCCCAAGCUCUGCUCCGGCCUGCCGCGGCGUUCGGAAGGCAUUUGAACCAGAGCAACUCCAUCUUGAAUAGGGGCUGGGAAGAUAAGGCUGAGAUCUGCUGGGCUGCAUUCCCCAGAAGGGCACUGAUGACUCACUUCUCACUUGAGUCCAGACCCAUCUGGAUUGCCUGCAAAAAGCUCUUGGCAGUGACCUGAAAACACAUGUAAAUUAGCCAGCCGAUUCUAACCAGGACCUGCAGACUGGUAAUUCAUUCCCUUGUCCCAGACUUGUCUGACAAGCACCCCAAGCAACUCUGAGUUCCAUCCUGCAAUUCUCAGUCAGGCUCAAGAAGAGCUCCAAUUUUAUCUGGGCAUGGUGAUACAUGACUAUAAUCCCAGCUACUCAGGAGGCUUGAACCCAUGAGGUGAAGGUUGUGGUGAGCCAAGAUUGUGCCACUGCACUCUAGCCUGGGCAACAGAGCAAGACUCUGUCUCAAAAAUAAUUAAAAUUAAAUUUAAGAAAAAGAAAAAACCAUAUGAUGGCACUGAGCCUCUUUGACUCUAUUUGACUCUAGCUUGACUCUAGCUUGACUCCAGAAGUGGAGAACUACAUUUGUUUCAUGCAUUAAGAGUGGCCGCCUCUGAAUGGGAACCAGAAUCUAUAAACUUUUAAAGGCAGAAUCAUUGUGUUGAUUCUGUAUCAGUCAGGUGGGUUAGAUUGUACUGUGGUAACAAACAUUCAUCAGAGCUUGGUGACUUCCACUGCAAGGUUGAUGUCUUGCUCAUCCUAUAUGCUCAUGCAGGGUUAGUAGGAGCUCUACUUUUUAUUGUCCUCCCUCAUCUACAGUAGUUGAACCAUUGUGUGGAUGGGCAAAUGCCCCUACUGAUGUCAAGAGCAUGGAGAAAAUUCUGGACUCUUGGGGGUGAGACUCCCUGGGAAACAGAUUCUGUGACAGGUGUUUUUUUGUGGAUGUUUGUUUGCUUGCUCUUGGGAACAACACCUGUAAGGGAGUGAGGAAGCUGGAAUGAGCAGAGAGAAGAGCUGAGCUGCCAUGCAGAUGCAACAGAGGCCUCAGCCAAUUCUACCAGGGUGCUCUGGAGCUGAGAUGAUUCUUCUGAAUUGUCCCAAAUUGAGCCAAGGAUCCCCAGCCUUUUGGGCCAGAAGCUCCCUUCAGCAAGGGGCAAUUCCUGGAAGGCUCAGAUGUGAGCAUUCAGCAGCCAACAUUCAUGGCAGCUUAAGGAAAUGGGGGCCUUGGCCCUAAAAGGAGAGAUCUGAGUGAUACACCAGAGCAUCCUCUUGCACUGAUCAACUCUACUGGCUUUGUAUAAGUCCAGUCCACCUGGGAACAGCUCUUCUGAAAUUCUGGUUGGUCUCUUCACUACAGACUAGAGGGAUGGUAUAUUGCCUGAGUAGCUGCAGCUGGCCUCAAGGUCAUUCAUUUUAUAUUCUUCUUAACUGUUGCCUUUGCCAGUCAAGGUGUCUAACCUGGUAGGAUGACCCAAACCAUCAUCCCCAAGUUUCUGGUCAUUUUGCUGUUCUCAAGCCAUGGCUGCUGCAUUCACCAACUUAACACCAAAAGUAGGCAGGAGAGCACCAUGACAAGCCCCCAGCAGGUCACCAGAGUGUCAGACUUAUUCUGCCCUGCCUUCACUGUGGAACAGCAGCCCUACCUCCCUCUACAAGCUGGUCAAUCACCCCAGCUAGUGUGGGGACAUUGCCUUCUGGUCUUUUAGCACGAGGAGCCCAAGGUGACUAGGCAGGAGCCAAGGCUUAAAGUUUAAUGGGACACUUGCCAUGUCCCCUGGUGCAAGUGUUUCCCUCGGGGAACCACAGAGCCUAAUGUUGCAGCAAUGACAAGCAUUAAUUGCCAAGUGGGACACUGGGAAUGCUGGUAUGCAGGACCUUUCCCAGUCUAAUUCCUUGGUUUCUGGGCCCAUGUAUCCUACCUAUUAGGGAUAUCAACUCAUAUAAAAGUCUUUGAUUUAGGGCUGCAUCCUGAAGAAAGGAACCCUGUCUUCACAGAGUGAAGUACCUCUUCCAUGGUGGAUGCCCCCUAGUGGGCACUAACCUGCAUUGCAAAGGUCUUGACUCCGUAGGCCCACUCCUGUAGGUCCAUAUCUAUGUGCUCUUUCCCCAGUCCCCAGUCUUACACUCUUUUUUUCAGGCCCCUGGCCAACCAGCCUAGUCAUCAUUUUUCAUAGCCUGAGUUAUAUACUCCUACUUCAGGCCACUCCUCUUCCCACACAAAGUGAAUGACCAUGUGCUCAGUCUAAUGAGAGGAUUUCUCUUUACCAUUGAUUUUUGGGACUACCCUGAAUGGGACUACAGUGCCACAGCAGUCCAUUUUUGGCUAGCACCCCUAAACCAAGCUUACACUUCCUUGAAUCGGUCUUAGCCCUUUCCUCUUCUCUGUCAGCUUGUCUGUAAGGCACACUCCAUGUGGCCACAAGUCUUGUCUAGGGGAGAGACAUUGGUAUAAGGGUGAUGGAUGUCAUGGGGUCUGGGCCAUCUAUUAACAUAGCUUACAUUCACCCUCUGGCCCUGCUCACACAUAAUCCCAGAUGUACGGCUUCCAUUAUCAUGAUUGCUGUUAGGCUUGCCAGCUUUAUGACUUGGUAGGUUAGAUACUACUUAGCUCAUGCUGGGUAGCUUUGGCCACAUGGUCACUUGUCAGAUGCUCCAUCUCUCUUAGGGAAGUGGCAUGCCAGGAGCUGUUUUUAAGGUCUCCUCUGUAGAUGGCAUGGCCUUGCUCCAGGACUCUGGGGUCUACCAUAUGAUUCUCUUACUGGGGUUUGUCAUAAGCUCCACAUGGUGAAUUCUUCCAUCACAGAUAACUAAUAUCAAUAGGGUCUGCUCAAUCAUGUUGCCCAAGCAAUACGGAAUUGCAUCUUAUAGGUACUGUGAAUCAGAGCUGACAGUCUUCCAUGUUAUCUGGUAAAUU